rnacentral:tRNA from 1 species
UGUAGCUCAAUGGUAGAGCUCUUGCCUACUAUGCAUGAGGCCCUAGUUUAAUUCUUGGCA